GGAAAUUAUACAGGAAAAUCUCUGCACCUGUAAAUCCUUUCAAGAGUUGUUGCCUGUGCUUUAAGCCACAUGUAUCACCGGAAUCACCAGAAUUCUUUGGCAUAGUGAGUGAUGAUGGGAAUUUGGUUCAGUAUCGAAAAAAGGAUCCAAGGGGCUGUCACUUGGUGUGACGGUAAAAGGCUCGGGUAACGUGGGUUUGAGUCCUGAGAUCAGCCACUUUGUGCAUAAGCCAAAGGUCAGGACUUAGGACUGUUUCUAGCCCACCCCUCCGAGGACCCUGCUUAGGCCAUACCAGCACCGGGUUACGGCCCUUUAUUAAAAAAUGGAUCAUGGAAACUAAGGGUUUUCUGGGAUAUGAAGCAUUCGGACAAGUGGUAAGCUUUAAUUGAAAAUUCAGUAUCUGGAAGAAUGGAAGCAUUCGGACAAGUACUAAGCUUUAAUUGAAAAUUCAGUAUCUGGACUGCAAUGGUGAUUGGCUGAACUGAAUUGAUAACUCCUACAAGUGGUUGGAUAAUUAUGGCUGACGAAUACAAAAAAAAUGUAGAGAAAUUCAUAGGGCACUUCAAGCCCCUCUCUAAGCUAUGAAAAGAGGAACAAAAGAUAAUGUUCUUACUUGAAGCUUCAAAAGGGUAAGAUAUUGGAAACAAGGAGGAAAAGUUGCAGAAGAUUUUGAUCUCUAUGGGGCCAUGAAUUUUGGAUGAAAGAUCAUUGAUCCAUUGACUAUAGGAGUGAUGAAAAUUUUUGUUCAUCUAUGGGAUGUAAAAUUGUUGUCUCGGUGAUUAUUCAAUUUAGUUGGUUAAAUGGAAAGCUGUAACAAAACACUCAAGUCACUUGUAUGCGCCGCGAAGAAAAUGGGGAUAAAGAGAAGCAUAGAUAUGAACUAAGAGGAAAAAAGUGAAUAGAGAUAGAAGCUACACUUGUCUCGAUGAAUCGGCAGCACACUCCAAUCUCAGCUUAGCAUCGUCUCUGAUUUUGUUGGCUUAAUUCAAAUUGGUAAUGGAAAGAUCACAUCUAUACAUGAGAGAGAGAGGGAGAGAGAGAGAGAACUGAAUUAAGGGUUUAUUUUUUGUGUUAGUGCAGGAAACCACACUCUGAUUUUCAAGAGUAUAGUCUGCUGUCACACUUGUUUAAAUCCUUGCACACAAUAUUAUUGAACUCGGAGAAAAAUUUUCAGAUCGGUAAGUCUUUUCUAGAUAUGCCCUUUUCUGCAGUAUUUUCUCUGAGAAAUUGGUUCUUGGAUUUUAUGAAAAAUGUAUAGAUUAGUUCCCUUAACUUCAUUUCCUGCUGAUUGAAGCCAAGUGUACCAUUUGGUUUGUUAAAUGAACUACUUCUUUCCAGUUGGGGCCUUAUCUGGAUGGGUGAAGGGCCAUUUGUAACUAAGCGGUCCCUUCAGAUGUCACUUUAGGAUUCAAACACCCUAAAAAAAAUCAGUUUUCAUCCCACUUGCAAAUGAGCAGCGUUGCAAAAGAGCAGCAUUUUGUUAAUGCCAACCACAUAUUGACUAGAAUGUGAGUUGCAGCCAAACUAGGGGUAAGGAUUCAUUUGGGAAAGUCAGUCUAGUGCAGUUUAGGUGACAGUGUGUCAUCGGUCAACUGCUUAUAGUUCGCCCUACCCUGUUUGCCUUAGAGGAAACUUGCAUUCUAUUUGGGAGGGCCCCCCCCUUCCUUCCCUCUCGAUUGCAAGGUUACGAUACAUUCAGCACCUAUUUUGGCACUUCCACAAGAAUCCUAAAGGAUAGAAAUAUAAAUUUUUUUGAGUAAAAGGAUAUAAAUUUAAGUUAUUAUAACAGUCCAUAACCCUAUCACCAUCACCAUCACCACUGUCUACACCACAAUCAUCAUUUAGCACUCUGGAUUUUAUUGGAGCUUUAAUGUAGGGGUUGUGCCUAACAUUAUGAAGAGUUUAUUUCUCUUUAGUAUGUGCUUUUUUAACACAAUGCCUUCUUUUUUACAGUAUCAAUAUACUUGUCCAUCUCAUAAAGACCUUUUAAUCUAUUGAUAAUCCAUUACCGUCAAGGUUUUACUUUUCGUGAAUUUGAAACUAUGUCAGGAACUGAAUAUAUCACCAAAUAUGUAUAACACUCAUAUGACUGAUAACAUCCUCAAAACGAAUAAGAUGAGUUUUGAGUUUCUCUC